rnacentral:snoRNA from 1 species
UGCUAUGAUGGUGUAAUUUGCGUCUGACUCUGUGCAGUGACGGUUUGCCGACUGUCUUAUAGCUGGCACGGCGGGUUGACGAAAUAUUAAUUCUGAGCA